UGGGGAAUCUUGGGCAAUGGGCGAAAGCCUGACCCAGCAACGCCGCGUGAAGGAUGAAGUAUUUCGGUAUGUAAACUUCGAAAGAAUAGGAAGAAUAAAUGACGGUACUAUUUAUAAGGUCCGGCUAACUACGUGCCAGCAGCCGCGGUAAUACGUAGGGACCAAGCGUUGUUCGGAUUUACUGGGCGUAAAGGGCGCGUAGGCGGCAAUUCAAGUCAUCUGUGAAAUCUCCGGGCUUAACUCGGAACGGUCAGAUGAUACUGCUUUGCUAGAGUGCAGAAGGGGCAAUCGGAAUUCUUGGUGUAGCGGUGAAAUGCGUAGAUAUCAAGAGGAACACCUGAGGUGAAGACGGGUUGCUGGGCUGACACUGACGCUGAGGCGCGAAAGCCAGGGGAGCAAACGGGAUUAGAUACCCUUGUAGUCCCUGAGCGGGCUGGCAAGGCGCAU
rnacentral:rRNA from 1 species